rnacentral:rRNA from 1 species
GAUGAACGCUGGCGGCGUGCUUAACACAUGCAAGUCGAACGGAAAGGCCGAAGCUUGCUUCGGUACUCGAGUGGCGAACGGGUGAGUAACACGUGGGUGAUCUGCCCUGCACUUUGGGAUAAGCCUGGGAAACUGGGUCUAAUACCAGAUAGGACCACGUCUUGGAUGGUGUGGUGGAAAGUUUUUUCGGUGUGGGAUGAGCUCGCGGCCUAUCAGCUUGUUGGUGGGGUAAUGGCCUACCAAGGCGUCGACGGGUAGCCGGCCUGAGAGGGUGUACGGCCACAUUGGGACUGAGAUACGGCCCAGACUCCUACGGGAGGCAGCAGUGGGGAAUAUUGCACAAUGGGCGCAAGCCUGAUGCAGCGACGCCGCGUGGGGGAUGACGGCCUUCGGGUUGUAAACUCCUUUCGCCAGGGACGAAGCGUAAGUGACGGUACCUGGAUAAGAAGCACCGGCUAACUACGUGCCAGCAGCCGCGGUAAUACGUAGGGUGCGAGCGUUGUCCGGAAUUACUGGGCGUAAAGAGCUCGUAGGUGGUUUGUCGCGUCGUUUGUGUAAUACCGCAGCUUAACUGCGGGGUUGCAGGCGAUACGGGCAUAACUUGAGUGCUGUAGGGGAGACUGGAAUUCCUGGUGUAGCGGUGGAAUGCGCAGAUAUCAGGAGGAACACCGAUGGCGAAGGCAGGUCUCUGGGCAGUAACUGACGCUGAGGAGCGAAAGCAUGGGUAGCGAACAGGAUUAGAUACCCUGGUAGUCCAUGCCGUAAACGGUGGGCGCUAGGUGUGAGUCCCUUCCACGGGGUUCGUGCCGUAGCUAACGCAUUAAGCGCCCCGCCUGGGGAGUACGGCCGCAAGGCUAAAACUCAAAGGAAUUGACGGGGGCCCGCACAAGCGGCGGAGCAUGUGGAUUAAUUCGAUGCAACGCGAAGAACCUUACCUGGGCUUGACAUGCACCGGAUCGCUGCAGAGAUGUAGUUUCCCUCGUGGCUGGUGUACAGGUGGUGCAUGGUUGUCGUCAGCUCGUGUCGUGAGAUGUUGGGUUAAGUCCCGCAACGAGCGCAACCCUUGUCUUAUGUUGCCAGCAUUUGGUUGGGGACUCAUGAGAGACUGCCGGGGUUAACUCGGAGGAAGGUGGGGAUGACGUCAAAUCAUCAUGCCCCUUAUGUCCAGGGCUUCACACAUGCUACAAUGGUCGGUACAACGCGCAGCUACUUCGUGAGGAGGCGCUAAUCGCUGAAAGCCGGUCUUAGUUCGGAUUGGGGUCUGCAACUCGACCCCAUGAAGUCGGAGUCGCUAGUAAUCGUAGAUCAGCAACGCUGCGGUGAAUACGUUCCCGGGCCU